UUGAGGUCCCUGAAGUGCCCUCGAAGACUACGAGGUUGAUAGGCUGGGUGUGGAAGCGCAGUAAUGCGUGAAGCUAACCAGUACUAAUUGCACGUGAGGCUUGAUCAUAUAACGCCAAAGC
rnacentral:rRNA from 1 species